rnacentral:rRNA from 1 species
GAUCAUGGCUCAGGAUGAACGCUAGCUACAGGCUUAACACAUGCAAGUCGAAGGGCAGCAUGGUCUUAGCUUGCUAAGGCCGAUGGCGACCGGCGCACGGGUGAGUAACACGUGUCCAACCUGCCGUCUACUCUUGGACAGCCUUCUGAAAGGAAGAUUAAUACAAGAUGGCAUCAUGAGUUCACAUGUUCACAUGAUUAAAGGUAUUCCGGUAGACGAUGGGGA